GGCUAAUACCGCAUACGUCCUACGGGAGAAAGCAGGGGAUCUUCGGACCUUGCGCUAUCGGAUGAGUCUAUGUCGGAUUAGCUUGUUGGUGAGGUAAUGGCUCACCAAGGCGACGAUCCGUAGCUGGUCUGAGAGGAUGAUCAGCCACAUCGGGACUGAGACACGGCCCGAACUCCUACGGGAGGCAGCAGUGGGGAAUAUUGGACAAUGGGCGAAAGCCUGAUCCAGCCAUGCCGCGUGUGUGAAGAAGGCCUUCGGGUUGUAAAGCACUUUCAGUGGGGAAGAAAGCCUUGGGGCUAAUACCCUCGAGGAAGGACAUCACCCACAGAAGAAGCACCGGCUAACUCCGUGCCAGCAGCCGCGGUAAUACGGAGGGUGCGAGCGUUAAUCGGAAUUACUGGGCGUAAAGCGCGCGUAGGCGGUCUGAUAAGCCGGUUGUGAAAGCCCCGGGCUCAACCUGGGAACGGCAUCCGGAACUGUCAGGCUAGAGUGCAGGAGAGGAAGGUAGAAUUCCCGGUGUAGCGGUGAAAUGCGUAGAGAUCGGGAGGAAUACCAGUGGCGAAGGCGGCCUUCUGGACUGACACUGACGCUGAGGUGCGAAAGCGUGGGUAGCAAACAGGAUUAGAUACCCUGGUAGUCCACGC
rnacentral:rRNA from 1 species